rnacentral:lncRNA from 1 species
CGGGUCACAACACACAUUUUUUAAUUAAGAUACCCCAAUGUGGCCAAGUUUGGUUAAAUUUGGCCCAGUAGUUUCAGAGGAGAAGAUUUUUGUAAAAGUUAACGAUGACACAAGAUGACGACGGAGACGGACACCGGACGCAAAGUGAUGAGAAAAGCUCACUUGGCCCUUCAGGCCAGGUGAGCUAAAAAUUAAUGCACAUAUAUGCAUGGCUAUACAUCUUUCUGUCAAUUGUCAGUACAUUCAGAGCAAUUUUUUUUU